GAUGAAGAACGUAGCGAAAUGCGAUACGUAAUGUGAAUUGCAGAAUUCAGUGAAUCAUCGAAUCUUUGAACGCACAUUGCGCCCGCCAGUAUUCUGGCGGGCAUGCCUGUUCGAGCGUCAUUUCAACCAUCAAGCCCCGGGCUUGUGUUGGGGACCUGCGGCUGCCGCAGGCCCUGAAAUGCAGUGGCGGGCUCGCUGUCACUCCGAGCGUAGUAGUUACAUCUCGCUCUGGGCGUGCUGCGGGUUCCGGCCGUUAAAAGCCUUAUUUACCCAAGGUUGACCUCGGAUCAGGUAGGAAGACCCGCUGAACUUAAGCAUAUCAAUAAGCGGAGGA
rnacentral:misc_RNA from 1 species